rnacentral:rRNA from 1 species
AUUGAACGCUGGCGGCAGGCCUAACACAUGCAAGUCGAGCGGAGCGGCGGACGGGUGAGUAAUGCCUGGGAAUCUGCCUGGUAGUGGGGGAUACCGUCCGGAAACGGGCGCUAAUACCGCAUACUAUCAGAUGAGCCUAGGUCGGAUUAGCUAGUUGGUGGGGUAAAGGCCUACCAGGGCGACGAUCCGUAACUGGGCUGAGAGGAUGAUCAGGCACACGGGAACGGAGACACGGGCCAGACUCCUACGGGAGUCAGCAGUGGGGAAUAUUGGACAAUGGGCGAAAGCCGGAGCCAGCCAUGCCGCGUGGGUGAAGAAGGUCGUCGGAUUGGAAAGCACUUUAAGUUGGGAGGCGUUACCAACAGAAUAAGCACCGGCUAACUUCGUGCCAGCAGCCGCGGUAAUAC